AUGCGGAUUCCUGAAUCUGCUCCCUCCCUCCCUAAAACUCCCGUCCGCGCAGAUCCAAAUCCUAUGAACCCGCCUCCAACUGUAACCGUAAAAAUCUUGAACCCAUCACAGGGGAGAAAAAUUAAAACAGAAAGCAGAUCAGGAGCCCCGAACCAGUGGUGUGCCGAGCGCCGCGCCUGCCUUCUUCCUCGCAGCCGGCGGCUCGCCAGCGACGGGCCACGGGAUGGAGCCGCGGGACGGGGAGGCGACGACGGGGCGGGCGGGCGCGGGGGAGCCUCCGGUCGCCAGCGGCGGAAAGGGGAGGGGAGCUCGUCUAGUUGGUUAGUUCGGGCGCGUGGAGAGGAGGAGGAUGGGGAGGGAGAGGAAGCUACGCGAUGGAGGGAGGGAGCUCAUGUCGUUUGUUCCGGGCAAGAUUGGUUGGGGGAGGGGCGGUGGAGGGGGAGGGGCAAGGGACAGGGGAGAUAA
rnacentral:rRNA from 1 species